CUGUGUGUGUUUCUGAGUUUGUGCCCCAUGUCAUCGGGAGACGACAGCAAAAGUCUACCUUUGAAGUCCUUUGGGAAUGUAUGGCUUGGGCUGUAUCCCCUCCUGGACUCCCAAACUGGGCUCCCAUCCUGUUUUCCCAGUCAAGUCAUCCUUCAUCGGUUUCCUCGCUUGCCUCUAGACUGCCUGCAUUGGCAUACCAACUCUGCUACGUAUUGACUAUGUGACUUUGGGCAAAGUAGAUCAGCCUCCCUGUGCCUCAGUUUCCCCAUCUGUAAAAUGGGGAUAAUAAUAGACCCACCUCAUAGGGCUAUGAAAUGGUGAAAUGGCAAGGUACGUAUUGCAGUGCCUAGAACAGUGCCUGGUGUGGUUUAGGCAUUCAAAAUGUCAAUUGCUGUUCUUAUCAGGAUGAAAAUGAGAAAGAAGCAAAGUCGAAGCCUGUUGCCUUGGUCUGUUGCUUGGUUGUGAAAUGGAGAUGAAUGUGGCAUUGAGAAGACAGGCAAAGAAAGCACAGCUGUGGUCAGAGGUUAAGACAUUCAGGAAAUCUGGGGGAAGAGACUUCGGGAAUUCUUUGUACUCUUCUCCCAACUUUCCCGCAAGUCUGAAAUUAUGUCAAAUUACAAAGUUAAAGAAAACAGGGCAUUGUUCUCGGGUGCAAGAGAGAUAAUAAAUGUCUUCUUGCAUACAGUCCCACUGUUCAAGUUCCUGCCCAAGAUGCCCAGACUUUAUCUGUGACUGCUCCGUCAGUCCUGGGAGCAGGUCCAAAGGCACCAAGAUAGGAAAACCUCUGUUCCCUCAUCUAGGGGUUCCCAAGUCUUGCCUCAGUAUAAGCUCAAUCCUCAUUACAUCCUAACAUGCUUACUUGUUUCCAAGCCUUUCGGUCUUUAAAACUAAUAGUGUUUAUUUUUUAGAACCAUUGUAGAUUAUGAAAAAAUUGAGCAGAUAGUACUGAGAGUUCCCAUACAUCCCUCUCCCCCAUGCAAAAUUUCCUCUUUUAUCAACAUCUUGCAUUAGUGUGUAGUGCCUUUCUUAUAAUACUGAUACAUUAUUAUAAACUAAAGUCCAUAGCAUACAUUGUUUCACUGUUUCUCGGGGUUUUGUUUUGUUUUGUUUUGUGUUUGUUUGCUUGUUUGGAAACAAGGUCUCACUCUGUUGCCCAGGCUGGGUCUCACUCUGUUGCCCAGGCUGGAGUGCAGUGGCAUGAUCAUAGUUCACUGCAGCCUCGAACUCCUGGGCUCAAGGGAUCCUCCUGCCUCAGCCUCUGAGUAUCUGGGACUACAGUGCACCACCAUGCCUGGCCUGUUUUUUGUUGUUGUUGUUUGUUUGUGUUUUUUGGUAGAGACCGGGUCUUGCUAUGUUGCCCAGGCUGGGAAACUAUUCUUUUUGUUGCUACAUGUGUGGAUCCAUGACAUUAUACAUUGUUAAGACCCAGAACUUGGCUAUUUUUUUUUUUUUUUUUUUUUUUUUUUUUUUUUUUUUUUUCAGCCUGGGCAACAGAGUGAGACCCUGUCUCUAAAAAAAAGAAAAAAAUAAAAAAAGAAGAAAAAAAUAAAGAAUAGUUUCACUUCCCCAAAAAUCCCCAAUUCUCUACCUAUUCUUCCUGGAUUCUGGAAACCACUGAUUUUUUUACUGUCUCCAUAGUUUUGCCUUUUUCAGAAUGUCACGUAAUUGAAAUCAGAAAGUAUGUAGUCUCUUAAUACUGACUUCUUUUACUUAGCAAUAUGCUUUUCAGGUUCCUCCAUGUCUUUUCCAGGCUUCACACCUCAUUUCCUUUUGUGGCUGAAUAGUGCCCUAUUGUAUGGAUGUACCACAGUUUAUCCAUUCUACCUAUUGAAAGACAUCUUUGUUGCUUCCAAUUUUUGGCAAUUAUGAAUAAAGCUGCUAUCAACACUCAUGUGCAAGUUUUUGGGUGGACAUAAGUUUGCAACACAAUUGAGUAAAUACCAAGGAGCACAAUUGCUGGAUCAUACGGUAAAAGUAAGAAAGCAAUUUCCUAGUGACUUAUGAUGCAUAUGUCAAUGUUUGCAAAUUAGGAAAUUUGCAAUUUCCUAAUGACAUAUGAUGUUGAACAUAUUUUCAUAUGCUUUUUGCCAUCUGUAUAUCUUAUUUGUUGUCUGUUGAUAUGUUGUGCCCAUUUUUUAGUUGGGUUACUUGUUUUCUUAUUGUCGAGUUUUAAAAUUCUUUGUGUAUUUUGGAUACAGGUCCUUUAUCAGACAUGUGUUUUGCAAAGAUUUUCAAAUUUAAUAUAGUUUUCAAUUUUCAUAAA
rnacentral:lncRNA from 1 species